UGCAGAAUCCCGCGAACCAUCGAGUCUUUGAACGCAAGUUGCGCCUCAAGCCAUUAGGUUGAGGGCACGUCUGCCUGGGCGUCACAU
rnacentral:rRNA from 2 species